rnacentral:rRNA from 1 species
UACAGAGGUCCCAAGCGUUGUUCGGAUUCAUUGGGCGUAAAGGGUGCGUAGGCGGCGGGGUAAGUUGGAUGUGAAAUCUCGGGGCUCAACCCCGAAACUGCAUUCAAUACUGCCUUGCUUGAGUACUGGAGAGGAGACUGGAAUUCAUGGUGUAGCAGUGAAAUGCGUAGAUAUCAUGGAGGAAGGCCAGUGGCGAAGGCGGGUCUCUGGACAGUUACUGACGCUGAGGCACGAAGGCCAGGGGAGCAAACGGG